rnacentral:rRNA from 1 species
GUAUGAAUGGCUAAAUGAGGGCCCAACUGUCUCCUCUGACCAAUCAAUGAACCUGAUCUUCUAGUACAAAAGCUAGAAUAAACUCAUAAGACGAGAAGACCCUGUGGAGCUUAAAAUAUAAGUACUAACCACCAUGCAGCCACCAAAAAUAGUACACAUUUUUAGUUGGGGCGACUGCGGAACCAAACCUAACUUCCACGAUACCUGAACCACCCAGUUCACCCAAGGUCAACAAACCAAAGCCACCACUUGACCCAGUAAUACUGAUCAACGAACCAAGUUACCCCAGGGAUAACAGCGCCAUCCUCUUCAAGAGCCCAUAUCGCCAAGAGGGUUUACGACCUCGAUGUUGGAUCAGGACUCCCAGGUGGUGCAACCGNUACCAAUGGUUCGUUUG